GAUGAACGCUGGCGGCGUGCCUAAUACAUGCAAGUCGAGCGAACGGACGAGAAGCUUGCUUCUCUGAUGUUAGCGGCGGACGGGUGAGUAACACGUGGAUAACCUACCUAUAAGACUGGGAUAACUUCGGGAAACCGGAGCUAAUACCGGAUAAUAUUUUGAACCGCAUGGUUCAAUAGUGAAAGACGGUCUUGCUGUCACUUAUAGAUGGAUCCGCGCUGCAUUAGCUAGUUGGUAAGGUAACGGCUUACCAAGGCAACGAUGCAUAGCCGACCUGAGAGGGUGAUCGGCCACACUGGAACUGAGACACGGUCCAGACUCCUACGGGAGGCAGCAGUAGGGAAUCUUCCGCAAUGGGCGAAAGCCUGACGGAGCAACGCCGCGUGAGUGAUGAAGGUCUUCGGAUCGUAAAACUCUGUUAUUAGGGAAGAACAAAUGUGUAAGUAACUGUGCACAUCUUGACGGUACCUAAUCAGAAAGCCACAGCUAACUACGUG
rnacentral:rRNA from 1 species